CCGGGAAUUUCCCAAAAUCCAAAUCCGAAAUCCCAUCCCUCUUAUUGGGGUUUCCCGCUGGAGAAUUAGUGGACAGAGAGUGGGGUUAGAAUAGUGGAGACAAACACUUGCGUCAGAGGUUGCUGCUCCAGCGACUCCAUCCCUCUUCACCUUCCUCCUACUUCCUUCACUCUUCUCUCCCCUAUUGCCAGGGGGGCCGAAAGCGUUGUUUAUGAAGCGAUUUUGGAUGGAAAGAAAGUUGCUGCGAGGAAGCCAAUCUUGUCUACUUCGGAGGAGUUGAAUAAAUUUCACAAGGAGUUGCAGCUCCUGUGCCACUAGACCAUCAUGGCAUCGCUACUCUCGUCGCCGCCCAUGCCAAGCCUCCCAACUAUAUGUUCUUCUUCUAAUUCUAUGAACAAACCAACCUUGCUCAUAAAUUACAUGUUCAAGAAUGGAUUCCCGAUCUUGAUCAGGCGCUGCCAAUCAUGCUCCAGUUAGCGAAGGCUUUGCAAUAUCUGAUAACAAAGGAAUUGUACAUAGAGAUGUGAAACCAGCAAAUGUUCUCCUUGACAGCAACUUUUCUGCACACCUAGCUGACUUUGGCUUGGCAGAAUAUAAGAAAGAUCUCAAAAGAGUCUCUAUUGAGAAUUGGAGAUCAUCAGUUAAGCCAACAGGUGGUUUUCAC